ensembl:miRNA MIR3977 microRNA 3977
UUGUGCUUCAUCGUAAUUAACCUUAAGUGGUUCGGGUAAAUCACUUUAAUUUGUUAUGUGUUGGCAGAAU